GAAAUGCGAUACGUAAUGUGAAUUGCAAAUUCAGUGAAUCAUCGAGUCUUUGAACACACAUUGCGCCCCCUGGUAUUCCGGGGGGCAUGCCUGUCCGAGCGUCAUUUCUGCCCUCAAGCACGGCUUGUGUGUUGGGCCCCGUCCUCCGAUCCCGGGGGACGGGCCCGAAAGGCAGCGGCGGCACCGCGUCCGGUCCUCGAGCGUAUGGGGCUUUGUCACCCGCUCUGUAGGCCCGGCCGGCGCUUGCCGAUCAACCCAAAUUUUUAUCCAGGUUGACCUCGGAUCAGGUAGGGAUACCCGCUGAACUUAAGC
rnacentral:misc_RNA from 1 species